AAUCAGCGCUGGCGGCGUGCCUCAGACAUGCAAGUCGAACGAUUAAACUUUCCUUCGGGAAAGAUAUAAAGUGGCGCACGGGUGAGUAACACGUAAGUAAUCUACCGUUCGAGUGGGGGAAUAACGUUCGGAAACGAACGCUAAUACCGCAUAAUGCAGCGGCACCUAAGUGGUGACAGUUAGUUAAAGGAGCAAUUCGCUUGAAGAGGAGCUUGCGGCAGAUUAGCUUAGGNGGUUAAGGUAACGGCUUACCAAGGCUACGAUCUGUAACCGGUCUAAGAGGAC
rnacentral:rRNA from 1 species